rnacentral:rRNA from 1 species
UACGUAGGGUGCAAGCGUUGUCCGGAAUUAUUGGGCGUAAAGAGCUCGUAGGCGGUUCGUCACGUCGGCUGUGAAAACCUGAGGCUUAACCUCAGGCCUGCAGUCGAUACGGGCGGACUUGAGUACUGCAGGGGAGACUGGAAUUCCUGGUGUAGCGGUGAAAUGCGCAGAUAUCAGGAGGAACACCGGUGGCGAAGGCGGGUCUCUGGGCAGUAACUGACGCUGAGGAGCGAAAGCGUGGGGAGCGAACAGG